GGCUGGGCCCAUGCCGCACCCGCCCCAGGUGGGGUCUCCACCCGCAGCCUCGGCAGGGUCCCAGCCCUGCUGUGCUCCUGGGAGCCAGGCCUAGUGCUCCCGCAGGCUCCUCCUCUGCUGGGGAGGGAAGGGGCGCGCCUCCUCCCUUCUGCCACCCCAGGUCCUGGUGGGCUAAUCCCCCAAAUCUGCAGACCACAGGGACUCCCCACCUUGGCCGGGCCCACAGAGCUCCGCCCUCACCCCAACACCCGCGCCUGGAGCAGCUGGUCUCCUGGGCCAGGCCCCAGCUGCUGCCCCGGUCCUCCUUCCUUCCUCCUUCCUUCCGGGGCCCUGCCCACCCCACGCGGAGGCUUGGCCUUAGGUGACAAGGAAGGCACAUGGAACCGGGCCGACUCCGGAUUCUUUCUGGAGGUUACCCUGGAAGGCCCUAAGAUUCCGGCUUGGAUCUGCUGCUCUCAGACCAGCUCGGGCUCAGGCCCCCCGCGUGGACGCCACUGUGCUCAGCUUCCAGGAUGGACAGAACUGGACAUGGGCCUGCAGGGGCCCCAGCCCGGGCAGCCCAGCAUCCGUGUGGCCUGCGGCAUGUGGCCUGCUGGAGGAGUCUGACCCGAUUUUCUUUUCUCAGCACCAUUCUCAGU